CCAGCAACUUGGGGGAAUGUAUUUCGACUAUGUCGUAUAAAGUUCUAGAUAGAUUGAUGAUAAUGACAAUUUUCUAUCUAUAUGUCUUGACCAAAUCUUGUGCCAGCAGUCGCGGCAAGACAAGAGAGACUAGUGUUAUUCAUCUUUAUUAGGUUUAAAGGGUACCUAGACUGUAAAUUUAGCCCCUAAAGGGUACGUAUUUACUAGAGUUAUUUGUGAGAGGAAUAUAGCAGAACUAUUAGUGUAAAGAUGAAAUUUUUUGAUACUAAUAUAACGGGUAACGGCGAAGGCAACCCUCUAUGUGAUAACUGACGUUGAGGGACGAAGGCUCAGGGAGCGAAGAGGAUUAGAUACCCCCGUAGUCUGGGCAGACAAUGAUGAGUGUCAUAGAUUUAAGGCCAACUAGUGAAACUAAAUUGCUUUUUUUUGCUAGUUGGUGGGGUCUAUAAAUGAAAGUGUAAGCACUCCACCUCAAGAGUAAUGUGGCAACGCAGGAACUGAAAUCAUUAGACCGUUUCUGAAACCAGUAGUGAAGUAUGUUAUUUAAUUCGAUGAUCCUCGAAAAACCUUACCAUAAUUUGUAUGUCAAUCUUAUAUUGAUACAAGCGUUGCAUGGCUGUCUUCAGUUAAUGUCGUGAGAUUUGGUUAGUUCCAUUAAAUUAACGUAAACCCUUGCUUUUUUUAGAUUUAUAAAGCAGUUCACCGCGAUAAUUGGAUGUGAUAACAGGGACUAAGACAAGUC
rnacentral:rRNA from 1 species